rnacentral:rRNA from 1 species
UAAGUAGGGCGGGACACGUGAAAUCCUGUCUGAAGAUCGGGGGACCACCCUCGAAGGCUAAGUACUCCUUGCUGACCGAUAGCGAACCAGUACCGUGAGGGAAAGGUGAAAAGCACCCCGACGAGGGGAGUGAAACAGUACCUGAAACCGAGCGCCUACAAUCAGUCGGAGGCUCCUUGAGAGCUGACGGCGUACCUUUUGUAUAAUGGGUCAUCGACUUGGU